AUAAACUCUCUGUAAAAUGUCAAAAUGUUCCACAUUUCGAAACCUGCUCUUCUUUGACAACCUCUUGCUUCUCUGAAAAACUUCGACCGUCGUGCUACGAAAAGCCGUAACUCUGUGAAAAAGGCUACAACACAGAGGUUUUGAAGAGGGUAAAAGAACAACAUGGCUAUCGGUGAUUAUCCCGCAGAAUAUAAUCCGAAGGUCCAUGGACCUUACGAUCCGGCCCGCUUUUAUGGAAAGCCUGACACUCCGUUUGGUCAAGUAAAACUUAGCGAGCUGGGCUCUUGGUUUGGACGGCGCGAUAAAAAUCCGCGUGCCGUAGCUGGAGUUUUCAGUCGCACCUUUUGGAGAUGGCAGCACAAGUAUGUGCAGCCCAAGCGAACUGGUAUUGCUCCGUUCUUCCAAGUUAUCGUGGGUGGAAUGGUGUUUUUCUACACUAUUAACUACGGAAAACUGAAGCAUCACCGAAACUACAAAUACCACUAAACGAUGAACCUUUGCCGGAUAGUUCUCAUUACAUCAUUUCGAAGCAAUUGGACAAACAACAUCGAUUGCAGAGAAUUGGCAUCCCGUGCCGAAUGCGAAAUGGAAAAAGGAAUGAAGAAUAAAUGAGGAAACAUUAAUAGAAUGCAAAUUAUGUAAUGUGUAAAAAUAAAUGCCUAUUUGUUUGACAAAUCCGAGCAAAAAUA